rnacentral:ncRNA from 2 species
CCAAUAGCGUAUAUUAAAGUUGUUGCAGUUAAAAAGCUCGUAGUUGAAUUUCGGGAUUGACGUGAUGGUCAUGCCUUAAGGGGUAUGAACUGUUGCUGUUGAUUUCUCACCUUCUGGAGAAACUUGAUGUCCUUUAUUGGGUGUCUUGCGGAUCCAGGACCUUUACCUUGAAAAAAUUAGAGUGUUUAAAGCAGGCAUUUUUGCUCGAAUACAUUAGCAUGGAAUAAUAGAAUAGGACGGCAUGGUUCUAUUUUGUUGGUUUCUAGGAUCACCGUAAUGAUUAAUAGGGAUAGUUGGGGGCAUUAGUAUUCAAUUGUCAGAGGUGAAAUUCUUGGAUUUAUUGAAGACUAACUACUGCGAAAGCAUUUGCCAAGGAUGUUUUCAUUAAUCAAGAACGAAAGUUAGGGGAUCGAAGACGAUCAGAUACCGUCGUAGUCUUAACCAUAAACUAUGCCGACUAGGAAUCAGACGAUGUUAAUUUUUUAAUGACUCGUUUGGCACCUUACG